GACGUAGGGGGCCAGCGUUGUUCGGAAUUACUGGGUGUAAAGGGUUCGUAGGCGGUGUGGGCAAGUUCGGGAGUGAAAUCUCUGGGACCGUCAACCCCGAGAGUCUGCGUUCCGAAACUGCUGUGCGUUGAGUGGUGGGAGAGGCGCGUGGAAUUGCAGGUGUAGCGGUGAAAUGCGUAGAUAUCUGCAGGAACACCCGUGGCGAAAGCGGCGCGCUGGACCGACUACUGACGCUGGAGGAACGAAAGCUAGGGGAGCAAACAGG
rnacentral:rRNA from 1 species